ACGAAAAAAAUUGGGGAGAGAUGUGUAACUCCUUAAGUUUUUUUUUCAAUAUUACAUUCAAUAUUCUGCAUUAACAUCUAUAUCACAGAAACUCAAGUGAGUCAUAGAGCGCAGCCGUCAUUGGGGUAGAAUAAUUAGAUAUAACAUUUCGGUUAUAUCCACAAAGAUUAAUCGGAUCCUUGACGCUUUAAUUCCAUAAUUGUCUUUUUCUACUCCUAGUUUUAUUCUUUUUUUAAAUGUUUUAGUUCCAUUAUAUAUCUAAAUGGUUAAUUGCAUUCUAACUAUUUAGCCAUAAGUAUAAGCACAUUACAUAUUCUUUUUCUAUGUGCUUACUUAUGAAAUUUUAGAAAACAAGAUUCCUUUUUAGAAUUCUUUGUAAAGUCUUAAAAGACAACCUUAUUUGUCUUAAUUCAAGAGAUCCAUUUCAAACACUCAAUUUGACCGGAGAAGACAGGAGAGGUAAACACGAGUGAUUGAGAUGAAGUGAUUUCUUUUUUUCCAUUAACAUCCUUUGCAGAUAUGUCACAGUUUAGUAAAACCAACCGACCUAUGACCUUUGAAGAACGGAUGGAGACUAGAAUGGAUAACAUGUACAACAGAUUGAACUUAGCUAUUGAAGAUAUAGCAACAAGAAUGGAUGAGAGGGAUGGAAGAAGGAACCGUAGUCAUCCCAGACGCCGACACCGCCAGGAUGAUGAUGAGUCACAUGGCGACAAUAGUGAAGUCGAUAGAAGAGAAAUCCGAAGAGAAGAUGAUGACAUCAGAUCCAUCAAGAUGCAGAUACCUCCAUUCAGAUGAAGGGACGAUGUAGAGGUGUAUCUCAAGUGGGAACGGAAGGUAAAGUUGAUCUUUGAUUGCCACAACUAUAGUGAAGCCAAGAAAGUAAAGCUAACAGCUGUCGAAUUCACAAAUUAUGCACUUGUUUGGUGAGAUCAAGUGACUGCUCUUAGGAGAAAAGAUGGAGACCAACCUCUGUCCACUUGGAGAGAGAUGAAGUCUACUAUGAAAAAGAAAUUUGUCCCAUCUUAUUAUGAUAGAGAAUUGCACCAGAAGCUCCAAAGAUUGACCCUGGGAUCUCUCUCGGUGGAAGAUUACCAUAAGGAGAUGGAGAUGGCAAUGAUCAGGGCCAAAGUUUAUGAGAGCCCAGACGCCACCAUGCCUAGAUUUCUCAGUGGUCUGAAUAGGGAGAUUGUCAAUGUUGUGGAACUGCAUCACUACAUAAAUCUGAAUGAGAUGGUAUAGAUAGUUAUGAAAAUUGAGAAACAUCUAAAGUAUAGAAGUUCCUCCAUAAGUAAUUCUCAAUCUAUCCCUCAGUUUAGUUCUAGAUGGCCUAAAAAGGAAGAAAGAAAGAAACUUGAAGAAAGGAAGUAACAACCCAACUCUAGCGAAUCUAAACGUAACCCUAAACCACCUACUGCUAUUCAAAGACCAAGUUCUAUUAAAUGUUUUAAGUGUCUUGGAGUUGGACACAUUGCAUCACAAUGUCCCAACAAAAACCUCAUGUUACUACGAGACGAUGGUGAGAUAGAGACUGCCAAUGAAUACAGUAGUGAUGAUGAUAGUAGAAUAUCACUAGAUGAUUGUGAAGACAAUUUAGCAACCCCAAAACAGGAUGAGAUAUUGGUUGUCUAGAGAGCCCUAAAUAUGCAAUCCAAAGAGACAGACAACGAUCAAAGAGAGAAUAUCUUCUACACCAGAUGUCAUGUGAAUGAGAAGAUAUGCAGUCUGAUCAUAGAGGGAGGCAGUUGUGCCAAUGUCGCCAGUACUUUGCUAGUUGAAGAGUUAGGGUUAUUUUGUACUAAACACCCUAAUCUUUAUAGACUACAUUAGUUCAAUGAGUGUGGAUAAGUUAGGGCACAUAAACAAGUCAAGAUUCUCUUCUCCAUAGGCAAGUACAAAUAUGAGGUAUGCUAUGAUGUCAUUCUCAUACACGCCAGUCAUAUCUUGAUUGGAUGACCAUGACAGUAUGAUAGACAAAUACAUCAGGACGGGUUCAAGAAUCAAUACUCUUUACGUCUAGAUGACCUAAAACACAUUUUGACAACUCUAUCUCCAAAAGAGAUCUAUGCUGAUCAAAUCAAAAUAAAAAAUCCUUUGAAAGAAUACUAAGAAAAAGAAAAAGAAAAAGAAAGAAAAGAGACCGAAAAAAAAAAAUGACCCACUGAAAGAAAAAGAGGCUGAAAGAAAUAAAGAAAGUCUAUUGAACGUAAAAGAGGCCCAAAAGAACAAUAAAAAAUGCCCCAUGAGAGAAAGUGAGAGAGAAAAAAGAAAGAAUGUUUAUAUGUGAGGGAGAGAGAAGUGAGGAGAGCGAUUUGUGAGAAGUAAAGCUUAAUUGUACUUCGUACAAGGAAGCCUAUCUAACGUUUUCUGACCUUAACACUUCUUUACUUAGUUCUAUUCUAUCUCUUUUACAAGAAUAUGAAUAUGUAUUCUCAGAGGAGAUUCCGCAUGGUCUAACACCGCUACGAGAGAUUGAACAUCAAAAUUGACUUUAUCCCUGGAGCUUCAAUUCCCAACCGUCCAGUCUAUCGAAAUAAUCCUGAUGAGACAAAGGAACUUCAGCGGCAAGUGAAGGAGUUGUUAGGUAAGGAACAUGUAAGAGAAAGUUUGAGCCUUUGUGCUGUUCCAGUGUUACUGGUACCUAAGAAAGAUGGUUCUUGGAGGAUGUGUGUGGAUUGCCGAGCUGUCAACAAAAUUAUGGUGAAGUAUAGACACCUUAUCCCUAAGUUAGAUGAUAUAUUGGAUAAAUUGAGUGAAUCUACUAUUUUCACUAAGAUAGAUCUUAAGAAUGAAUACCACCAGAUUAGAAUGAAACAUGGAUAUGAGUGAAAAACUGCCUUUAAAACCAAGUAUGGGUUGUAUGAAUGGUUAGUAAUGUCUUUUGGGUUAUCAAAUGCCCCUAGCACCUUCAUGAGACUUAUGAAUCAUUUUUUACGACCUUUUCUAGGUAAAUUUGCAGUAGUUUACUUUGAUAACAUCCUGAUUUACAACAAGUCUUUAGAAUAUCACUUUCAACAAUACGAUUUGUCCUUGAGAUCCUUAAGAAAGAACAGUUGUAUGCGAAUGUUAAGAAGUGUACCUUCUGCAGUGAAAAAUUAAUUUUUUUAGGAUUUGUAGUUAGUGCACAGGGAAUUGAGGUAGAUGAAGAUAAGGUGAAAGUAAUCAGAGAAUGGCCUACUCCGACAUCAGCCAGCGAGGUAAGGAAUUUCCAUAAUUUAGGGAGCUUCUACCGCAUGUUUGUUAGGGAUUUCAGUUCCAUAGCAACACCAUUGAAUGAACUGGUAAAAAAAAAUGUAAAAUUUGUAUGAACUAAAAAACAAGAACAUAUUUUUACUUUAUUGAAAGAUAAAUUAUGUUCUGUACCUAUUUUAGUUUUACCUGACUUUAACAAAACUUUUGAACUUGAAUGUGAUACUUCAGGUAUUGGUAUAGGAGCGAUUCUGAUGUAGGAAGGGCGUCCCGUGGCUUAUUUCAAUGAGAAACUUAGUGGCACACCGUUGAACUACUGAACCUACAACAAGGAGUUGUACGCCUUGGUAAGAGCAUUAGAAGUAUGGCAACACUAUUUAUUGCCAAAGGAAUUCAUGAUCCACACAGACCAUGAAUCCCUAAAAUAUCUGAAAGGUCAAGGUAAACUCAACCGUCGUUACGGUAAGUGAGUCGAGUUCAUAGAAUCUUUCCCCUAUAUAAUCAAGUAUAAACAAGGUAAGCAUUAUAUUGUUGCUAAUGCAUAUCUCGCAGGUAUGCUUCAAUUUCUACACUUACCUUUAAGUUGUUAAGAUUUGAAUAUAUUAAGGAGAUGUAUGCUAAUGAUAAUGAUUUUUUCACUGUUUAUCAUGCACGUGAGCACUCUGCAUUUCAUAAAUUUUAUAGGCAUGAUGAUUUCCUCCUUAGAGAUGGUAAGUUAUGUGUAUCCAACUGUUCACUCAAGGAUUUACUGGUGCGUGAGGCUCACAGUGGGAGAUUGAUGAGGCACUUUGAGGAAAUUCAGGAUACCGAUGGUCAACGGAGAGCAGAACUUGUUAAAGCCAUGUAUGAAAAGGCAGGCAGCACAUCCAAAAGAAGAAUGAAUCCUAUGCACGACACACCAAUAAAGGAAGGAAGCGAGUAAUGUUUCAACCAGGCGAUUGGGUAUGAGUUCAUAUGCGAAAGGAAAGAUUUUCCAAUCAGCAAAAAUCUAAGUUGGACUCUCGAGGAGACAGACCUUUUAAGUUCUAGAAUGUAUCAAUGACAAUGCCUACAAAAUUGAUCUCCCAGGUGAGUACGGUGUGUCUACUACCUUUAAUGUUUCUAACCUUUCCCUUUUUGAUGCAGCUUCAGAUUCGAGAACGAAUCUUUUUGAAGAGGGAGAGGAUGAUGUGAGCAUGGACAUGGGUCGAGUUGGUGGAGAGAAUAUUUCAAUGCCAAGUGGGCCCAUUACAAAAGAGAGAGCUAAAAUAUUAUAACAAGUUUUCCAACUUUUUAUGCAAGCGUGAAUCAAUGAGAAAGAUGGGAUUGGACCCAUUAAAAAAGCCCAAGAAAAGAUGACAACGUGAUCAUUAACCCAAUGGUAUAAUAGUAUAUUAUAUUCACCCCAAGUGCAAGAAAGAAAUAAACAAGGAAAAAAUUCUGCAAGACAUGAAAAAAAAAAAAAUCUCAUGCAAUUUUAUUUCCUAAUCAUAU